UGGGGAAUAUUGCACAAUGGGGGAAACCCUGAUGCAGCGACGCCGCGUGGGUGAAGAAGUAUUUCGGUAUGUAAAGCCCUAUCAGCAGGGAAGAAAAUGACGGUACCUGAUCAAGAAGCCCUGGCUAACUACGUGCC
rnacentral:rRNA from 1 species